UGAUGAUGACGAUGAUGAUGGUGAUGGUGAGGGUGAUGAUGAUGAUUAUGAUGAUGAUGCAUUAAUAAACUGCAUUAACUUCGCUGCACAUUUUUACUGUAUUAUUUGUCACCAUCAUUGUUCGUCAUCAUCAUCAUCAUCAUCAUCAUCAUCAUCAUCACCA
rnacentral:pre_miRNA from 1 species